UGCAGCCGAGCGGUAUUUAUUCUUCGGAAUAGAGAGAGCGGCGUACGGGUGCGGAACACGUGUGCAACCUGCCUUUAUCAGGGGGAUAGCCUUUCGAAAGGAAGAUUAAUACCCCAUAAUAUAUUGAAUGGCAUCAUUUGAUAUUGAAAACUCCGGUGGAUAGAGAUGGGCACGCGCAAGAUUAGAUAGUUGGUAGGGUAACGGCCUACCAAGUCAGUGAUCUUUAGGGGGCCUGAGAGGGUGAUCCCCCACACUGGUACUGAGACACGGACCAGACUCCUACGGGAGGCAGCAGUGAGGAAUAUUGGACAAUGGGCGAAAGCCUGAUCCAGCCAUGCCGCGUGUGUGAAGAAGGUCUUCGGAUUGUAAAGCACUUUAAGUUGGGAGGAAGGGUUGUAGAUUAAUACUCUGCAAUUUUGACGUUACCGACAGAAUAAGCACCGGCUAACUCCGUGCCAGCAGCCGCGGUAAUACGGGGGGUGCAAGCGUUACUCGGAAUCACUGGGCGUAAAGGGAGCGCAGGCGGGUUAAUAAGUGUCUUGUGAAAGCCUAUGGCUUAACCAUAGAACUGCAAGACAAACUGUUAACCUGGAGUUUAGAAGAGGUAACUGGAAUUGGUGGUGUAGGGGUAAAAUCCGUAGAGAUCACCAGGAAUGCCAACGGCGAAAGCAAGUUACUGGGAUAAUACUGACGCUGAGGCUCGAAAGCGUGGGGAGCAAACAGGAUUAGAUACCCUGGUAGUCCCCU
rnacentral:rRNA from 1 species